GAUGAACGCUGGCGGCGUGCCUAAUACAUGCAAGUCGAGCGAACAGAUGAGAAGCUUGCUUCUCUGAUGUUAGCGGCGGACGGGUGAGUAACACGUGGGUAACCUACCUAUAAGACUGGGAUAACUCCGGGAAACCGGGGCUAAUACCGGAUAAUAUUUUGAACCGCAUGGUUCAAUAGUGAAAGACGGUUUCGGCUGUCACUUAUAGAUGGACCCGCGCCGUAUUAGCUAGUUGGUAAGGUAACGGCUUACCAAGGCGACGAUACGUAGCCGACCUGAGAGGGUGAGCGGCCACGCUGGAACUGAGACACGGUCCAGACUCCUACGUGAGGCAGCAGUAGGGAAUCUUCCGCAAUGGGCGAAAGCCUGACGGAGCAACGCCGCGUGAGUGAUGAAGGUCUUCGGAUCGUAAAACUCUGUUGUUAGGGAAGAACAAAUUUGUUAGUAACUGAACAAGUCUUGACGGUACCUAACCAGAAAGCCACGGCUAACUACGUGCCAGCCGCCGCAGUAA
rnacentral:rRNA from 1 species